rnacentral:rRNA from 1 species
CACUGGGGGGAUUUGCCUUAGUACGGCGAGUGAGCGGCAAAAGCUCAAAUUUGAAAUCUGGCACCUUCGGUGUCCGAGUUGUAAUUUGAAGAAGGUAACUUUGGAGUUGGCUCUUGUCUAUGUUCCUUGGAACAGGACGUCACAGAGGGUGAGAAUCCCGUGCGAUGAGAUGCCCAAUUCUAUGUAAAGUGCUUUCGAAGAGUCGAGUUGUUUGGGAAUGCAGCUCUAAGUGGGUGGUAAAUUCCAUCUAAAGCUAAAUAUUGGCGAGAGACCGAUAGCGAACAAGUACAGUGAUGGAAAGAUGAAAAGAACUUUGAAAAGAGAGUGAAAAAGUACGUGAAAUUGUUGAAAGGGAAGGGCUUGAGAUCAGACUUGGUAUUUUGCGAUCCUUUCCUUCUUGGUUGGGUUCCUCGCAGCUUACUGGGCCAGCAUCGGUUUGGAUGGUAGGAUAAUGACUAAGGAAUGUGGCUCUACUUCGGUGGAGUGUUAUAGCCUUGGUUGAUACUGCCUGUCUAGACCGAGGACUGCGUCUUUUGACUAGGAUGUUGGCAUAAUGAUCUUAAGCCACCCGUCUUGAAGGACGGACCAAAAAAAAAAAAAUAAAAAGGAGGGGGAAUUGGGGGUGGUUUUGUGGGGGGUAUGGGGGCCGGCGGAUGCCAGGGGGGACGACCCACCAUCAGGGAAG